rnacentral:rRNA from 1 species
AGUCGAACGCUUCUUUUUCCACCGGAGCUUGCUCCACCGGAAAAAGAGGAGUGGCGAACGGGUGAGUAACACGUGGGUAACCUGCCCAUCAGAAGGGGAUAACACUUGGAAACAGGUGCUAAUACCGUAUAACAAUCAAAACCGCAUGGUUUUGAUUUGAAAGGCGCUUUCGGGUGUCGCUGAUGGAUGGACCCGCGGUGCAUUAGCUAGUUGGUGAGGUAACGGCUCACCAAGGCCACGAUGCAUAGCCGACCUGAGAGGGUGAUCGGCCACAUUGGGACUGAGACACGGCCCAAGCUCCUACGGGAGGCAGCAGUAGGGAAUCUUCGGCAAUGGACGAAAGUCUGACCGAGCAACGCCGCGUGAGUGAAGAAGGUUUUCGGAUCGUAAAACUCUGUUGUUAGAGAAGAACAAGGAUGAGAGUAACUGUUCAUCCCUUGACGGUAUCUAACCAGAAAGCCACGGCUAACUACGUGCCAGCAGCCGCGGUAAUACGUAGGUGGCAAGCGUUGUCCGGAUUUAUUGGGCGUAAAGCGAGCGCAGGCGGUUUCUUAAGUCUGAUGUGAAAGCCCCCGGCUCAACCGGGGAGGGUCAUUGGAAACUGGGAGACUUGAGUGCAGAAGAGGAGAGUGGAAUUCCAUGUGUAGCGGUGAAAUGCGUA